GGGGAAUAUUGGACAAUGGGCGCAAGCCUGAUCCAGCCAUGUCGCGUGGGUGAAGAAGGCCUUCGGGUUGUAAAGCCCUUUUGUUGGGAAAGAAAAGCAGCCGGCCAAUACCCGGUUGUUCUGACGGUACCCAAAGAAUAAGCCACGGCUAACUUCGUGCCAGCAGCCGCGGUAAUACGAAGGGUGCAAGCGUUACACGGAAUUACUGGGCGUAAAGCGUGCGUAGGUGGUGGUUUAAGUCCGUUGUGAAAGCCCUGGGCUCAACCUGGGAACUGCAGUGGAUACUGGAUCACUAGAGUGUGGCAGAGGGUAGUGGAAUUCUCGGUGUAGCAGUGAAAUGCGUAGAUAUCGGGAGGAACAUCAGUGGCGAAGGCGACCACCUGGACUGAUACUGACACUGAGGUGCGAAAGCGUGGGGAGCAAACA
rnacentral:rRNA from 1 species